UACGUAGGGAGCAAGCGUUGUCCGGAUUUAUUGGGCGUAAAGCGCGUGUAGGCGGCCAGGUAGGUCCGCUGUGAAAACCCGAGGCUCAACCUCGGGACGUCGGCGGAAACCAUCCGGCUAGAGUCCGGAAGAGGAGAGUGGAAUUCCCGGUGUAGCGGUGAAAUGCGCAGAUAUCGGGAAGAACACCCGUGGCGAAGGCGGCUCUCUGGGACGGUACUGACGCUGAGACGCGAAAGCGUGGGGAGCAAACAGG
rnacentral:rRNA from 1 species